rnacentral:tRNA from 1 species
GGAAGGGAAGCGUUCCUGGUGGGGCGGCCGGAUUUCAAAUCCGGUUGAGGCUGCGUCAGUCUUUGGUGGGUUCGACUCCCACUCCCUUCCGCCA